UGAGGAAUUUUCCGCAAUGGGCGCAAGCCUGACGGAGCGACGCCGCGUGAGGGAUGAAGGCUUUCGGGUUGUAAACCUCUUUUGCAGGGGAAAAAGAUGUAUGUGCUCAUACCACGUGCAUUUGAUGGUACUUUGCGAAUAAGCCCCGGCUAACUACGUGCCAGCAGCCGCGGUAAUACGUAGGGGGCGAGCGUUGUCCGGAGUUACUGGGCGUAAAGGGCGUGUAGGCGGUUGGAUAAGUCUGGCGUGAAAUUCUCUGGCUUAACCAGGGAGCUGCGCUGGAAACUGUCUGACUGGAGUUCGGUAGGGGUCACUGGAAUCCCCGGUGUAACGGUGAAAUGUGUAGAUAUCGGGGGGAACACCUGUGGCGAAGGCGGGUGACUGGGCCGCAACUGACGCUGAGACGCGAAAGCGUGGGGAGCAAACAGG
rnacentral:rRNA from 1 species